rnacentral:misc_RNA from 1 species
AACGCAUCUUGCGCCUUUUGGUAUUCCGAAAGGCACACUUGUUUGAGUGUCAUAAAAAUCUCAAUUUCUUUUGUCAUAGAAAGGAAUCGGAUUAUGAGUGUUGCUGUGUGACAGCUCGCUUAAAAUGUAUUAGUCCUUCAAUUCCGGAUAGACUUGGUGUAAUAAGACCUUUCACCAAGGAGAUGCUAUUGCAGACCGGCCAAUUAGAGGUACUGCAAAAAAUGUUUAACAUAAAUUUGGACAUCAAAUCAAGUGGGACCACCCGCUGAACUUAA